rnacentral:lncRNA from 10 species
GGCAGGUUCUGUAGAGACCUGCUCCGCUGUCUCUCUGGCACCCCCACCCCCAUCCCAGCUCCCAGAAGGUACCUGCCCCCCAACACAGCACACAAAAGCAGACACGUGUGCACAUUCAUGUCCCAUAGCACCCCAUUCCCUAGCCUUCCCCAGACCCAUUCCUAGUCCGUCUUGAAGAGAACACUGGGGGUGGAAAGGCUGCAGGAGAAAAGGCAGGCCCCACAAUUUCCACCACCAGGCUUUGAGCUGCUUCCUCCCUUGGCCUAGGCAGAGAACUGGCCCGUACCUGCCCACCAGGUGAGCUGUGGAAGAACCAAGAAGGAAAGCAGGCAGCUUGAGGUGUCUUCAGGGAGAGGGUGGACAAUGGGAGAAAACAGGGGAAUUACUCAAGUGCAAGAUUAAAGGCAAUAAUGAGCAAUCAGACCGAACUGGAAUGACAGUAGGGGAAGGUGAAGAGACUUUGGGAAAAGGAAGAGCACUGAAGUCAGACCUGGCACAGCCUUUUACGAGCUAUGUAAUCUCAGCUAACAGGGCAUCUCCUGCAGGAACCUUCCCUGGCACCUCACCCCAGGGCCAAGCACUCUUCCUCUAUGCUCCAGUGGCCUCCUGAACACACCUCCACACAGCACUCACUGGGCUGCAGUGAAUCAACAUGUUUUCACAUGUCUCCCCUGGGAAAACAUCUUAUUUGCCCCUCCAUCCCCUGUGCUUCACACUGUGCCUGGCAGAUAGGAGAGAGUGCCUAAUGUGGUCGGCCAAAGGAAGAUCAGAACCAAAGCCUAGUUCUCCUAUCCCGACUCCGACCUCUCUCCCUUAAUGAUGAUUAUCCCUCAGAAUCCGAACCAUCCAGCUAACAUUUACUAUGUGCCAGGAACUGUGCAACGUGCUUUCUCUAUUAUUUCAUUUAAUCCUCAUAACCCCAAGAAGUAGGGCCUAUUAUUAAUUCCAUUUUACAGGUGAGGCUUCAAAAAGUUACCAGUUUUGUCUGAUGUCACGGAAUUAGACAGUGGCAAAGCCAGAAUUUAAAAGCAAACCAGGGAAGAAAGCCACUUGGUGGGGGACCAGGGAUUCCUUGUGGAAGGGCUCAGUCUAGGCUUGGAGGAUGUGCCUUAAGACACCUAAGAGGCUGGGGAAUGGGGUUUAUUACUUGCCCAGAUCACACCACUGUUAAGUACUAAUUCCAACCAACUCUGACUCCUUUCUCUGGCCUCACAAUGUGAUGAACACUUGAGGGAAGGAGAAGACUGGAGUUCCCUAAAACUCAGAGGGGAUCAGAUCUCUUCCUUUUCCCUGCCAAAGCUUCUGUUAGUCAAGUUCCCUCCCCAUUAACUGGAAGGACCUGGAAACCAGAUGAGCAGAUAAAAAACUGUCCUGCUCUAGGGCCAGGGAAGGGGGGAUAUUUCCUCAGAUCUAAAAGGAUCAGGAGGAGAGGCAAACACACCAGAGAGGCCUGCCCCGGAAGAAUUAGAGGAAAUAGAAGUCAGGAGCAAGACAAUGGGUGAGGAGGGGCCAACGUGGCCACUGACUCCCAAUCUGGAAGUACUUUCAGAAAUGGCAUUUCCUAUUAUCUGACCACAAUUCCUCCUCUUUGGAAGAGAGCCCCCACCAGCAUAAUAUAUCAUGCAUGUGAUCAGCGUAUACAGAGCAAACAAGGGACCCCAGAGGGCCAGGGCACACCAUCUUAGAUGCAAGUGCCUUACUAGCCCUGGGAGCCCUAACUAUCAGACAGGUGUUGGGUUUGGGGGAAUGAUCCAUUAAAAAAAAAAAAAGGUCUUUUAAAGGUCUUUUCCUACUCUGCCCCGUUCCCCGUUCCUCGUUCAAACAUUUUCUAACCCCUACUACUCUUAUCUCCAGGCCUUAGGGAGGGUAGGGAGCCCUGAGGACUAAAGAGGGAACAUUCCAAUUG